rnacentral:rRNA from 1 species
GGUGACUGCCGGUGACAAACCGGAGGAAGGUGGGGAUGACGUCAAAUCAUCAUGCCCCUUAUGACCUGGGCUACACACGUGCUACAAUGGGCAGAACAAAGGGCAGCGAAGCCGCGAGGCUAAGCCAAUCCCACAAAUCUGUUCUCAGUUCGGAUCGCAGUCUGCAACUCGACUGCGUGAAGCUGGAAUCGCUAGUAAUCGCGGAUCAGCAUGCCGCGGUGAAUACGUUCCCGGGCCUUGUACACACCGCCCGUCACACCACGAGAGUUUGUAACACCCGAAGUCGGUGAGGUAACCUUUUGGAGCCAGCCGCCGAAGGUGGGACAGAUGAUUGGGGUGAAGUCGUAACAAGGUAGCCGUAUCGGAAGGUGCGGCUGGAUCACCUCCUUUCUA